ensembl:lncRNA
GUUUCUAUUAGCUCAGAAUCAUGCUCUGUUUCUCUUCACUGACUAUAAAGGCAGCCUGGGGUGACUGGCUCCCAUGGAGGCCUCCAUCGUGCAGAUGCCUAUGUGAGAAGGGCUCUGGUAAAGGUGAACCAACCCUCCAUAGCUUUGAUAAACUUUGACUGCAUCACACCCUGUUGACUUCUGCUUUGGUGACGCAUGGCAAGUGCAGAAGUACUGGUGGGUCAAGGACAAGUCAUGCUCAGGUGACUCCUGCAGAAUGCUACCACAUCACUCAAGCAAUUCAGGCCAUGCACAGAAGAUGGGCACGCUCCCUUCAUAAGUGCUUAUGUUGGGGAUUUGGUGUCCUCUGCUGAGCACGACCUAUCAUCAGCUUGGCGAUGACAAGGUGCAAAUGUUGGCAACCUGAGCCACAAAUCUUAGGGUCUUUUAACAUAUCUCCAGUGGCCAGCACAAACCAAAUGGAAGAACAACGAGAAGACACAGGCAGCAUGAAAUCCACAGACACAGAGCACUAAACCAAAACACCACCACGCUGCUCACACAGAUGUCAAAACAAAGCACAAGCUCUGGGAUUCAUCUUUUGCCAGUUCAGUGCAAACAGUUUGGCUCACAGAAAUUAAGCGAGGAAGUCUAGCUUCAAACACAGCCAGAGAGUGAGCGGGAAUGUGGAUGACAUCCAGCUCUUUUGAACUUGGUUGAUACUCGGACAAAGAGGGACUGAUGGUCACCCAUGAGCUGUGGAGGACAGUGGCGCUUCCCUGUUCAUUGCCAGGGAGCUGGACCAGAUGACCUUUAAAGGCCGACUCAAGAGCCCUUGCAAGGAGACAUAGUCAAACACAAACUCCUAGCUACCAAAGCUUGAGGAUCAUACAGCAAAAUCCAAGCUGAUAUACCCAGUGGGAUUUAUCAUUUAGGGUUUGGCUCCAUCUUAGUUGGGCUCUUCACUGGGCUACUUUCUGGCUCACAGUUGAGUUGACAUCUAUCCAGAUGUGACACUGAUCCAGACCUGCUGCACACAGUCACUGCACAGAGGCAAAAUAGGUGCUCCAGGACUGUGUCUUCACCCGCUAGCUACAGUCAAGUGUUGCUCACCCAAAGUUAACCACGAAAUCUUUCCUGGAGUGACUCUGAGUCUCCUGUGCAGACGAUAGUCUGAAGGGUGGUGACUGAAGACAGUAUCAGCCAAAGAUAUUAUCCAGAAGCAGUUUGCGUUCAAGUGAUCCUGCCAAAAUCACUGUAUGGAAGCUCAGAUAACAGACAACCUCUCUUUCCAAUAGAAGAAAGCCCUUUUUCUUUGCCAGUGAAACUGUGAGACAGACAUUUCAUCAGCUCAGAUCUACUGGCUGCAGUUCAGUCAAUCUGCUCUGGUUCUCGAGGUUAUAUCACCAGCAAGCUGAACUGACGUCCAGAAUCAAGAGCUGAACUCUCCUUGACACUACAGAAGAAAUCAGUUCUACAAUAAGGAGCUGGCUGUCCUGGUGCUGAAAGUGCUCGGCCUCCACUGGAACAUCCACCAGAGAAUUUGGCUCAAGAGAAAUUGUUGCACAUGAAGAUUUCCGAGCAAUCCUUUCUCACUGCUCUGUUGGAAUGGCUCAUCCAUUGAAGACAACUGUGAGCCCAGAUAUCAAUAAGACCCCUUUUUGUUUUAACCACUGACUACGCACAAACUCCGUACCUCAUCCACAACCUCACCAUCAGAGAAAUAAAAGGAAUAGUGAGUAGAGACUUCAUCCGCUCGGUUCUUUGUUCUGGGCUCAUCUCCAUGUCUUGUAUCCAACAGAUGUUUUCAGACAUGGUAUUGCAAGACGUGAUGCAGAGUUUAUAUCCUCGGCAGACAGGCCAGUUAUUGUUCUCAUAGCAGCAGAUGUCUGAAUCAGCUCAAGCAAGUGAGUUCCUGGGUGACUGCACCUUUCAUUUCUGCUCACCUGUCUUCUGCUUUUCCUCCCAUCUGCACAUCAGCUUGGAAUUAUCUUAAGAUGAAGACCGCCCUCAGCAGGAGCCUGUACAAAGCUCAGCCUAUUUAUAGGCACAUCUCUGCUUGGGACUAUCCUGUGCUACUGUGACACACACAGUAAGCUCUUUAUUAAUAAGUAGAUAAGAAGCUCCUUAGGUCUUAGGUCACUUGUACUGCAUCCCAGUUCGGGAAUUAUCCCACAGGUGAGCUCCCUUUCCAAUCACAUAUGUUCCCACCAGCAACUCCCGCAGUCACUUACACAUGAAAAUAAUAUUAGGAAAACAUUUACUGUAAGCUUUAGCUUAAUUUAGUAGAAUUUAGCAGCUGGAAAUUACAAGGAGGAGCCAGCACCUUGCAAAGAGCCAGCACUCUGCAGACCACCAGCAAGUGCUCCACAGACCUCAGCCUGGAAAGUGAUGAGACAGAUGGAAGUCAUUAUUUUGUUUUGAACAAAAUACCAUCUGGGGCCAACAUUUGCUGUCUGUUACUUCUGAGUGAAUCCAGAGAAACUCCAUCAUGUUCCUUAAUAAUCAGUUCUGGGACCAAUCUUAUUAAAUAUUUUCCUUAAUGAACUUGGCAGAAAAAAGGCAGGCGCCUGGUCAUGAGAUCUGCUGAUGACACAAACUUGAGUGACUGCAUUGCUAUUGCGGAGAAGGAUACAAAUGUGAUAUGGGAAGAGCUGUGGAUGACCUUUAAGGAAAGCCGAGUGAGAGAAGUGGGUGUGCUUUGACAGUAACAAAGAGUAGGAGACUAGACUUAGAGAUUGAGGUAGAAAAAAAUGACCUGAAAUAGUCUAUUUGAUAGAAUCAUGGAAUGGCGUAGGUUGGAGGGGACCUUAAAGAUCAUCAAGGUCCAACCCCCUGCCAUGGGUUGGUUGCUACCCACCAGAUCAGGCUGCCCAGGGCCCCAUCCAACUGGCCUUGAGCACCUCCAGGGAUGGGGGACCCACAGCUUGCCUAUUUGAACACAGUGUCCUUGAAAAGAACAACUGCAGUUGUACUGUAUCUCAGGUGAGAUGUUUCCAGUUGAGACAGGGAAGUGUUAAAUACCAUUGCACAGAGAGUAGCUGGGACAUCACCUGAGUAACUAUGAAGUUCUGGUCACCCAGAUUCAAGAAAGAUUAACUGAAAGUUGAAGAGGUGCAUCUCUAGAAAGGCAGCUAAAGUGCCUGUUUUGUUCAGAGGAGGAAAACAAGCAGAUCCAUAGGCUGCAUCUGUACUAAUUUACUGAAAUUACCUAGAUGGUUCUCCGACAGUGGGGUCCACCAGGAAGGAAUUGGGCAGCCUGGUCUGGUGGUUGGCAACCCUGCACAUAGCAGGGGGGUUGAAACUGGAUGAGCAUUGUGGUGCUUUUCAACCCAGGCCAUUCUGUGAUCCUAUGAUUCCAUGAUUUUAUGAUCCUAUGAUCCUAUGAUUCCAUGAUUCUAUGAUCCUAUGAUUCUAUGCCCUUCCAUUACAGGGCUUUGUGCAUCUUUGCCUUCAACAUGGUGACAUUCUCCCAGUAUUCCAGCGUGGACUAUUUUUAUGCUCUGCGUUACGUUGAUGUGACUGUAAAGAACCAUGUUCUCAAAGAACUCUGGGUUUAUACUGAGCUCAGAAGUCCUGUCUGAAAACUGGUUCUUUAGCUAGCAGGUAUGAUGCCAGUCUUCAUUUGAGGACUUCCGUCCAUGCCUUUUUCAUUGGUCUUUUCUUCUACACACAUGUUGGAAGCACAAAUCAUUUUUGAAGGGUGUGAAAUGCAGCAGCUUUACACUGUUCAGAAGCAAUACUUUGGUUUUACUGCAAACUUUAAUGUAGAUGGCUUGGAGCAACUAUUAGAGUUACAAGCAGAAUAAAUCAACCAGCCAAGUGUCUCUGGUUGCCCAAAUCUCAGAUUUCACAGCAAAAAAAAGCCAAUGUGUGGUGCCACGUGAGAGUGGGAUCCCCUACCUAAGGAAAGUGAUGUAAUCUGUGGAGCUACAAUAGCAAUAAUCUUCUUCGUCAUCCUGUUUCUGUGAGCACUAGCAAUGAAGCAUUAUUAUUUUUCACAACACACUGACUUUUACCAAAGAGUGGGAAUUUCUUCAUUAAUACUGGGGAUACUCCAUUGAUUUUAGAGAAAAGGCUCUUUAUACCUAUACAGAACGCGAGCCAGAAAUUAAAAUUAUAGUAAUUAACUCCAAAACAUAUUUUCCUGCUUAGAAAUCCCAUUCAAGUGCAUAAAUAUCAUUUGAGAAUUACAACACUUGCACAUUGCAUAUCUGCACAUCACAGAUGAUGUAUUCCUCCAAUGCAUGGCUCUACUCGUGCUACAGAUGAGCACAGUCUGAGCAGCCAGCUGGGUGGAUGGCCAGAGGAGAAGUGUCAUUUGGUGCAUCCAUGGAGCUCAACCAGCUGUCUGCCCCAAUGGUGAAAAGCAUCUCUUCCCUUUGCGACUUCUGGCGUGGAUCAGAGAGCCACUAGAACUGGAAAGAUACUGAAUUUCAGCUGGGACACACACAAGCUGCUAAUUGCAUCUCCGCUUCCUACUGCUGGUUGUGCAGGGUGUGGGGUUAAUUCACAGCACAGAGGGAUGAGACAGAGCAAGAAUUCCGUGAGAGAUGAUCUUCUAAAUCAUGACUGACUGCUCUGCAACAGUGAUUAAGGGCCCCAGGAAGAACCAGAGAGCCACUGCAGUAGACCCCCUUUAGAUACUGAAAGGCAUCUAUCAAGUCUCUUCUCCAGGCUGAACAUCCCCAGCUCUCUCAGCUCAUCUUUGUAGCGGAGGUGUUCCAUCCCUUGGAUCACUCUUGUGGCCCUCCACUGGAUGCACUCCAACAGCUCCAUGUCUCUCCUGUACUGAGGACUCCACAUCUGGACGCAGUGCUCCAGGUGAGUUCUCAAAGCACAGAGCAGAGGGGCAGGAUCAACUCCCUCGCCCUGCUGGCCAUGCUGCUUUAGAUGCAGCCCAGGUUGGCUGUCUGGGCUGGUAGAUAGGGAAGCAGUAAGAGUAAGUCAUGAAUUUGGAAGACAGUGGUAUGGAUAAGGAGGGGGAAAAAAAACAGAACUGGAGAUAGAAUGUCAGGCAGGUCAAUAGAAAAGGAGUUUUUAGGGGUUAUAUUAAAUAUAUAUAUAUAUUAAAAAUUAGGGAACCUGCAUCUAAACAUUUGUUGGGGAUUAUCACAACCCAAAGGGCUGCCAGUGGCACAGAAAGCCUCUAGAAGCAUCCCAUAUCUGCAGCCUACACAGUGCAGAAUUUAUGGAUCCACACUGAGCCAUCCAAUAGCCACAGACGUUUGGCUCCAUGAAAUAAGCUAGUGACCGUUUUCCAACCCUGAGUGUACUGACAUGUCCCACGUCCCUGCAGCUGAGCUCUCUUUCUUUCUAUCAGGUAGCUGGGUGUCGUUUCUCUCCUGAGCCUGAGACUUCCUACUGGCUUGAGAGUCACAUCCAGCAUCUCUUCAAUCUCCUUGCAAAACCACGCAUUAAUUAGCCUGUCCUGGAGCUUGACACCUUGUUCUCCCACAGGGACAUGGCCCCACUGGACUGUAGCUGAACUCUUCCAGGAUGCAUGACAGAUGCAGCACAUACGAUCCUGCCAAGAUAGCCUUUGCAAAGGGUCCCUGAAAGCACUAUUACUCUGGUUGCCUCCCUGUUGCCCCACAAUACUUCACUCACUAGCACAGGACAAACAGCAGCUCCUGUAAGCCAGGAAGAUGGAGUCACUCACCAGCCUUUGAGCUGAGCAUUAAACAUCUGGCUGUUGAUGCGAGAAUGAAUAAGCUAGAAGGCUGAUGUGAACCAGAUUGUUUGCACUCUGUCCAAAAAAUUCCUUCACAAGCUCCCAGUGUCGACUUUUGGCUUAUCUUUCACACAUAGGCUCUCUGGGCUCUUUCUGGGAAACCAGGAGAAGUGUGGAUUCACACCAGUGGAGAAGCAGGAUUUGUCAUGCUCAUUUGUGUUAGGCUUCGUCUGAGCAGACAGGUUUGGGCUUGAUUGAGGACACACUCCUCCGUGUCUCUGAAAUGAAGCAAGGCACUCUCCCAAGAUCCAAACCAAGUGGAGCAGGGAGGGAAGGGAAAAAGAAAAAGGCAUGUGAAAAUGACCCUGCUUCCUCCAGGUCCAGGGAGGGAGUGCAGAGUGGAUGAAAGAGGGAAGGAGCCAGAGGUUGGCUCGAGUUGCGUUGGAAACUCCUGCGCACUGUGCCUUGUUUGCCAUGGCCAAAGCCUGGCAAUCACCAUUUGUAUCCACUUCAUCCACUGUUUGACCAGAGGAUUAGUGCAGAGUCUGGCCAUUAGUUUACUAUUGAGUCCUGAUCCCUCUCUGACUGCGAGUCUUUUCUUCCAAGUCUUCUUCCUCAACUACAAAUGAAUAAAAUCGGCCCUGGCCAAGCAGGAGGGAACACCAGGUCUGCCACCAUCUCCACCGGGCAGCACCUUGCACUUGGCUCUGUUGAGCUUCAUUAGGUUCACGUGGGCCCACUUUUCAAGCCUGUCCACGUCCCUCUGGAUGCCAUCCCUUCCUUCUACUGUGUCAACGGCACCACUCAGCUCAGUGCCACCAGCAAACUGCUGAGAGUGCACUCAAUCCCAUCAUUGAUGUCAAUGAUGAAGAUGUUGAAAAGCACCAGCCCCAAGACGGAUCCCUGGGGGACACCGCUCAUGACCAGCCUUCACCUGGACACACAGCCAUUGACUGCAACCCUCUGGCUGCAGCCAUCCAACCAACUCUUUAUCCACCCAAUAGCCCAGCCUUCAUAUCCAUAUCUCUCCAAUUUAGAGAUAAGGAUGUGGUGCAGGGCUAUGCCAAAGGCCUUGCACAAGUCCAGGUAGAUGACAUCAGCUGCCUUUCCUUUGUCCACCAGUGCUAUCACUUAAAUACUGAGUGGUCAAGAUAAGAAACUGUGAGAUUCCUUUGUAGCAAGAUCAGUUCAAAUUAGACGUUAAGAAGAACUCGGUAGCAGAGAGCAGGACUCUGGAAUCAGCUGUCUGAGGUCUCUGCAGUCUCCAACACUGCAAGCUUUUAAGGAGAAUCUCUUUAAGCACAGAGUUAAUAUCAACCUCUGCUGGGAAUGGCAUAGAUGGAGUUGUUUCCUGCUUAGACUAGAAAGAUAAAGCAUGUGAUCCUUCAGGAUGCCUUUCAGUUUUAUUCCUCGACAGUUUCACGAGAUUUCCUUUGAGGAUAGAACAAAGUGUUAUCAGCCUCCAUAAAACAGUGCAGAGAGAGCUAUGCUGCCUUUCUGGGAAGUCCAGCUGGACUUGAGGGAAUGGGAUUUAUCUCUGCUGUUUUCUGAGGAGCAUCUCUAGGCCACGUUCAGGACCAGAUGUACCCUCUGUACAGGCAGCCAUCACACAAAAGCAACUUUUGUGCACACAGAGGCCUCAACGAUGAGCUCAAAGAACGCAGUCCACAAGAGCCCAGCAUGACAUUGGAAGCACUGCAGGACAGCAACAGACAUUUUCUGCCUCCCAGUGCUGAGGAAAUGGCUUGAUUCUGCAAAUUCUGACCUCCAGCACAGGGAAAGAAUUGAGGUCCUACACUACUCCUCACAGAGUCCUUUUGGAAUUGUUAACAGACUAGCCAGGAAGAAAGAAAAAUUACUGUGCUAUAAUUUGAAGCAUGAAAGAAGACGAUGGAAACAGAGGGACCCCUCAAGACCUCUGAUCAAAAUGUUGCUGCCACAGGUACCCUGCCAUAUGUUCCCACUCACACCUUCAAUAUUAUUAAAAGUCUUUUCCAGAACUGCAUUCCUCUGAUGCCUCAAAGCCAUCUGCUGGUUUUUCCACUUCAAAAGUAGCCAUGGCCCAAUUUACAUCCAUUUACAUUUGUGCCUAAAAUGCUUCAGAGACCUGAAGCUUGAAUAGCUCCUCUCCCUCCUGUACGUGUAUGGAAAGAUCCCCUCUCCUGUCCAUCCUCAUAUAGGAAUUUUAUUCCUAUAUUGUACUCGAGAAACUCAGGUUUGGUGCCUAAAACUAAAGAAAAGGGUUGAAAAGGACCACAAUGAUCAUCUAGUUUUAACCACA